AAUGCAAGGAACUGAAUUUAAUAUUGGGGAAAUGAGAGCCAGAGAGCACUGAAAAAAAAUGGACAGCUCCUUGACUCAAAAGAAGAUUAGUGGGCGGGAGAGGGCAAAACAGGAGCAGGAAUGCAAAGAACUGAAUUUAAUAUUGGGGGAAUGAAUAUUGGGGGACUCGUCAAAAGCUGCCCCGUACAUUAAAAAAGAAGGUCGGAGAUGAAAACCACAGGAUAUUCCGACAAUUGAAGAAUGGCAACAGAAAGUAUUGGAGUAUGCAGAAAUAGCAAGGCUAACUUGGAAGAAUCCGAUGGCAGGACGAUAAGAAAUUCCAAAAAGAAUGGUCCAAAUUUAUGGUAUACUUACGAGAAAACUGCACAUAAAUAAAGACACUCACAGGACUGAAAUAAAACUCAUAACGUUUAUUGUGAACAUUUGGUUAGACCGCAAGAUGUAAUGCUGUAAUAUAAUAAGGAAUGUAUGUCUAAAGAAUAAUACAAAAAUUUAUGAAGGAAUUAUAGAUGUUUAUAGUAUGUA